UACGUAGGGUGCGAGCGUUGUCCGGAAUUACUGGGCGUAAAGAGCUCGUAGGUGGUUUGUCGCGUUGUUCGUGAAAACUCACAGCGUAACUGUGGGCGUGCGGGCGAUACGGGCAGACUGGAGUACUGCAGGGGAGACUGGAAUUCCUGGUGUAGCGGUGGAAUGCGCAGAUAUCAGGAGGAACACCGGUGGCGAAGGCGGGUCUCUGGGCAGUAACUGACGCUGAGGAGCGAAAGCGUGGGGAGCGAACAGG
rnacentral:rRNA from 1 species